GGAUGACUUGAACUUGGCAUGUCAUUCCUUGCUGUGGGACCUGGUGUAAUGGGAGAAGCAUGAGCUUUGGAACCAAUAAGACCUGGCUCUCAAUCCCAGCUAGGCCACUUAAAACUGGAUCACCUUGGAUCAUGCUUUUGUUGUUGAAGCCAAGAACUCAUUGCCUAAUUUAAGGUAGCAAGUCAUCAGGAAUGCUUAGCACGUAUGGACCAUUUCACAGAGAGUGUCUGAAACAAGAUAUUUCUUUCUAGCCUCACCUCUGGAUUGGACCGAGCAUGGAUACACUGGGCCAUUACCAUGAUUUAUCAGGAGCUGAUUACCUAGCCAAUCAUUCCCAUCAUUCCCUUACUGAAAUAAACUGAGAAAAAUCAAACUAACCUUCUAUUCACUGGAAGAUAUUCCAAAUGGUGGUUUGCUUCAUGCUUGCACAGAGACUCUGGCUGGGCAGCCCAGAUGAUCACUUUGUGUGAUGUGAUGCCCACAGCUGCCUAGCUGUCUCCAAGGGCCCAAUCAUUUAUCGCUUCUCUUUGGCUGUGUGUGUGUGCAAGCAGGCAGCUGGGGGUGUGUGUGACCCCAGGGCUUCUACAAUAAAUCAGAAUCCCUAAUGCCAGAU
rnacentral:lncRNA from 10 species